rnacentral:lncRNA from 1 species
UGCAGCGUGCCAUUGUCGUACGGAGGGGUGACUUGCAUUACAUCCUCAAGUACAAGCGUCUUGAAAAGCGCCACAAGAACAUGUCUGCGCACCUGCCCCCCCGCUUCAGACACACUGCAGCCCAAUCGCAUUUGUUUUCAGCAUGAAGCGGCCUGUCAGAAAGACGUGAGCUAAGCUGCUGGUGGUGCAGACCUUGAACCUGUUUACUGGGGGCUGAUGUCUAAACUCACAAUGGUCUGCAGAGCCCCUGCUGUGGACUUGUGGGCUGCUGAAAAUGCCAGUUGAGCGCUUGGUGAACCACAAAGCAUGUUCUGGUCUGCCUUCCCUUUGUCUAAUGCUUCCUUGUGUGCGAGCUGUCCUGAAAUUCAGCCUGCUGCUUCCAGGAAACUGAUGAGUAAAAUUAUCUCCCUUCACGAAACCCUAUCCACCAGCAUCCUGGGUAAAUGUGCAAAGGGCAGAUGCAUUCAAACCAAUACGGAGCCUUCCUUCCGAAGCAAGUUGUCCUGAGACUGCAAUGCCUCAUGGGUCACAUCCGCAGCCCAUCCAUGCCAGGGGGGGCCUUCUCCAAAAGGCUUUGCAUGGGGCCUCCUUUGUAGGAAAGAAGUGAAAAAAAUCUCUAGCUGUGCUCCUUUUUGAGGUUGCAGUGAACAGGACGCUUAUCUUAGGGAAGGAGACAGACAUGAGCCGCAGCAUGGUCCAUGCAGAGCCAUGCACAGAGCACCCCUAGCUGGGGUCAACCCUGGACACAGAGAGGCCUCAUGGAGUAGCAGUAUGGAGCAAAACUUGAUACCAAACCUGUAUUCCCUGUCUUGCCCCUAAAUAAAUAUGACAGCUGCUGCGAUCCA